GGAUGAGUAUUCUAAGGCGCGUGGAAGAACUCUCUUUAAGGAACUCUGCAAAAUAGCACCGUAUCUUCGGUAUAAGGUGUGGUUAGCUUUGUAUUAGGAUUUACUCCGAAAGCAAGGAAACUUACAACAAAGAGUCCCUCCCGACUGUUUACCAAAAACACAGCACUCUGCUAACUCGUAAGAGGAUGUAUAGGGUGUGACGCCUGCCCGGUGCUCGAAGGUUAAUUGAUGGGGUUAGCAUUAGCGAAGCUCUUGAUCGAAGCCCGAGUAAACGGCGGCCGUAACUAUAACGGUCCUAAGGUAGCGAAAUUCCUUGUCGGUUAAAUACCGACCUGCAUGAAUGGCGUAACGAGAUGGGAGCUGUCUCAAAGAGGGAUCCAGUGAAAUUGUAGUGGAGGUGAAAAUUCCUCCUACCCGCGGCAAGACGGAAAGACCCCGUGGACCUUUACUACAGCUUGACACUGCUACUUGGAUAAGAAUGUGCAGGAUAGGUGGGAGGCUUUGAGUAUAUGACGCCAGUUGUAUAUGAGCCAUUGUUGAGAUACCACUCUUUCUUAUUUGGGUAGCUAACCAGCUUGAGUUAUCCUCAAGUGGGACAAUGUCUGGUGGGUAGUUUGACUGGGGCGGUCGCCUCCCAAAUAAUAACGGAGGCUUACAAAGGUUGGCUCAGAACGGUUGGAAAUCGUUCGUAGAGUAUAAAGGUAUAAGCCAGCUUAACUGCAAGACAUACAAGUCAAGCAGAGACGAAAGUCGGUCUUAGUGAUCCGGUGGUUCUGUGUGGAAGGGCCAUCGCUCAAAGGAUAAAAGGUACCCCGGGGAUAACAGGCUGAUCUCCCCCAAGAGCUCACAUCGACGGGGAGGUUUGGCACCUCGAUGUCGGCUCAUCGCAUCCUGGGGCUGGAGCAGGUCCCAAGGGUAUGGCUGUUCGCCAUUUAAAGCGGUACGCGAGCUGGGUUCAGAACGUCGUGAGACAGUUCGGUCCCUAUCUGCCGUGGGCGUAAGAAGAUUGAAGAGAUUUGACCCUAGUACGAGAGGACCGGGUUGAACAAACCACUGGUGUAGCUGUUGUUCUGCCAAGAGCAUCGCAGCGUAGCUAAGUUUGGAAAGGAUAAACGCUGAAAGCAUCUAAGCGUGAAGCCAACUCUAAGAUGAAUCUUCUCUAAGCUCUCUAGAAGACUACUAGUUUGAUAGGCUGGGUGUGUAAUGGAUGAAAGUCCUUUAGCUGACCAGUACUAAUAGAGCGUUUGGCUUAUCUUUAAUAAAGCAU
rnacentral:rRNA from 1 species